UUGAAGGAAAAUGACAUUGCAUGGGAGAAUAUUGAUAUUAACUAGCGGGAAGGAAGGCUAUCACAAGUAAAUCUGAUUUUAAUAUUACAAAUUCUCACUACAGAUGAUUGAGGUAUUUGCAUGCUCACAAGGUGUCAAAGAAUCUGCCAAGCAAAUUCAGGAAGAACAGCAGGAUUAUGGAAAUGAAGAGCCUAAAGACAUAAUCUCUAACUAUUAAACACAGCAUUAGUUUUUCCCGGUAUACUGCAAUUCUUUAAAAAAAAUUCCGUUUUAACUUAUUUGAUUUUUGAGCAAUUAAUUUUUCUCGCAGGAGAAUGCCAUUUUUAGCACUCAGAGUCACUUCAGAUGGUAAUAAGUGAUAAUCUCUUUCGCAUUCUUGUAUUGUGUGUAUUACUGAAAUGAAACAUCAGAUAAUUUCUAUUGAAUCUUACCCUUGUUUUGAACUUAGAGGUUUGUUCUAUUUCAUUAACUGUUGAUGAUAUUCUUCGAAUCCCAUCUUUUGGGACAUUGAUUCUCUACUACG
rnacentral:lncRNA from 1 species